rnacentral:rRNA from 1 species
AGAGUUUGAUCAUGGCUCAGAUUGAACGCUGGCGGUAUGCUUAACACAUGCAAGUCGAACGGAAACGAUGGAAGCUUGCUUCCAGGCGUCGAGUGGCGGACGGGUGAGUAACGCGUAGGAAUCUGCCUGAUAGUGGGGGAUAGCCCGGAGAAAUUCGGAUUAAUACCGCAUAAUCUCUACGGAGUAAAGGAGGCCUCUAUUUAUAUGCUUUCGCUAUCAGAUGAGCCUGCGUAAGAUUAGCUAGUUGGUGAGGUAAAGGCUCACCAAGGCGACGAUCUUUAGCUGGUCUGAGAGGAUGAUCAGCCACACUGGGACUGAGACACGGCCCAGACUCCUACGGGAGGCAGCAGUGGGGAAUAUUGGACAAUGGGCGCAAGCCUGAUCCAGCAAUACCGCGUGUGUGAAGAAGGCCUGAGGGUUGUAAAGCACUUUCAAUUGUGAAGAAAAGCUAAAGGUUAAU